GGGUUUGAUUAUGGCUCAGGAUGAACGCUGGCGGCGUGCUUAACACAUGCAAGUCGAACGAACCUUCGGGUUAGUGGCGGACGGGUGAGUAACGCGUGAGAAUCUGCCCUCAGGAGGGGGAUAACGGUUGGAAACGACCGCUAAUACCCCAUAUGCCGCGAGGUGAAAUGAAUUUCGCCUGAGGAUGAGCUCGCGUCUGAUUAGUUAGUUGGUGGGGUAAAGGCCUACCAAGACAUCGAUCAGUAGCUGGUCUGAGAGGGUGAUCAGCCACACUGGGACUGAGACACGGCCCAGACUCCUACGGGAGGCAGCAGUGGGGAAUUUUCCGCAAUGGGCGAAAGCCUGACGGAGCAACGCCGCGUGAGGGAUGAAGGCCUCUGGGCUGUAAACCUCUUUUAUCAAGGAAGAAGAUCUGACGGUACUUGAUGAAUAAGCCACGGCUAAUUCCGUGC
rnacentral:rRNA from 1 species